rnacentral:rRNA from 1 species
UACGUAGGGUGCGAGCGUUAAUCGGAAUUACUGGGCGUAAAGCGUGCGCAGGCGGUUUUGUAAGCCAGAUGUGAAAUCCCCGGGCUUAACCUGGGAACGGCGUUUGAAACUGGCAGGCUAGAGUUUGGCAGAGGGGGGUGGAAUUCCACGUGUAGCAGUGAAAUGCGUAGAGAUGUGGAGGAACACCGAUGGCGAAGGCAGCCCCCUGGGCCAAAACUGACGCUCAGGCACGAAAGCGUGGGGAGCAAACAGG